rnacentral:rRNA from 1 species
GCAAGCCGCGGGUGCUAUACAUGCAGUCGAACGCGUUGGCCCAAUUGAUUGAUGGUGCUUGCACCUGAUUGAUUUUGGUCGCCAACGAGUGGCGGACGGGUGAGUAACACGUAGGUAACCUGCCCAGAAGCGGGGGACAACAUUUGGAAACAGAUGCUAAUACCGCAUAACAGCGUUGUUCGCAUGAACAACGCUUAAAAGAUGGCUUCUCGCUAUCACUUCUGGAUGGACCUGCGGUGCAUUAGCUUGUUGGUGGGGUAACGGCCUACCAAGGCGAUGAUGCAUAGCCGAGUUGAGAGACUGAUCGGCCACAAUGGGACUGAGACACGGCCCAUACUCCUACGGGAGGCAGCAGUAGGGAAUCUUCCACAAUGGGCGCAAGCCUGAUGGAGCAACACCGCGUGAGUGAAGAAGGGUUUCGGCUCGUAAAGCUCUGUUGUUAAAGAAGAACACGUAUGAGAGUAACUGUUCAUACGUUGACGGUAUUUAACCAGAAAGUCACGGCUAACUACGUGCCAGCAGCCGCGGUAAUACGUAGGUGGCAAGCGUUAUCCGGAUUUAUUGGGCGUAAAGAGAGUGCAGGCGGUUUUCUAAGUCUGAUGUGAAAGCCUUCGGCUUAACCGGAGAAGUGCAUCGGAAACUGGAUAACUUGAGUGCAGAAGAGGGUAGUGGAACUCCAUGUGUAGCGGUGGAAUGCGUAGAUAUAUGGAAGAACACCAGUGGCGAAGGCGGCUACCUGGUCUGCAACUGACGCUGAGACUCGAAAGCAUGGGUAGCGAACAGGAUUAGAUACCCUGGUAGUCCAUGCCGUAAACGAUGAGUGCUAGGUGUUGGAGGGUUUCCGCCCUUCAGUGCCGGAGCUAACGCAUUAAGCACUCCGCCUGGGGAGUACGACCGCAAGGUUGAAACUCAAAGGAAUUGACGGGGGCCCGCACAAGCGGUGGAGCAUGUGGGUUUAAUUCGAAGCUACGCGAAGAACCUUACCAGGUCUUGACAUCUUGCGCCAACCCUAGAGAUAGGGCGUUUCCUUCGGGAACGCAAUGACAGGUGGUGCAUGGUCGUCGUCAGCUCGUGUCGUGAGAUGUUGGGUUAAGUC